AAUAAAAAAAAAAAAAAAAGCAAAAAAUUGACAUUGGAUUUCUGUUCUCUUAUCAUGAAAUCAAAGACCUGUUUCUCGAGCACAAUAAUCUUAUUCAUGCUAUGCUCUUGACUUGAAUGAUGGUUGUAUUUUCCUUUGAAUUAUUUUUAUGUUAAAUAUUGUAUAAAUAGAUAAAAAACUGUAUAUAUCAAUACUUCAAUUUCUAAAGCUUAAAACUCUUCCUCUUUCCUCUGGGGAAGAAUUGGUAGCAACAUUGCUGAAGUUGGAAGAGUGAUAUAUUAGAUGCCUGAGUAUGUGAGUUUCUUGAUUUGUUGAGUUUCUGUGUUUAUUGCUUUAGUUGCAAUACCUGAUUUCUUGAUCUUGUUGAGUUUCUAAGAUUUCU
rnacentral:misc_RNA from 1 species